rnacentral:rRNA from 1 species
CUACGGGAGGCAGCAGUAGGGAAUCUUCCGCAAUGGACGAAAGUCUGACGGAGCAACGCCGCGUGAGUGAUGAAGGCUUUCGGGUCGUAAAACUCUGUUGUUAGGGAAGAACAAGUGCUAGUUGAAUAAGCUGGCACCUUGACGGUACCUAACCAGAAAGCCACGGCUAACUACGUGCCAGCAGCCGCGGUAAUACGUAGGUGGCAAGCGUUAUCCGGAAUUAUUGGGCGUAAAGCGCGCGCAGGUGGUUUCUUAAGUCUGAUGUGAAAGCCCACGGCUCAACCGUGGAGGGUCAUUGGAAACUGGGAGACUUGAGUGCAGAAGAGGAAAGUGGAAUUCCAUGUGUAGCGGUGAAAUGCGUAGAGAUAUGGAGGAACACCAGUGGCGAAGGCGACUUUCUGGUCUGUAACUGACACUGAGGCGCGAAAGCGUGGGGAGCAAACAGGAUUAGAUACCCUGGUAGUCCACGCCGUAAACGAUGAGUGCUAAGUGUUAGAGGGUUUCCGCCCUUUAGUGCUGAAGUUAACGCAUUAAGCACUCCGCCUGGGGAGUACGGCCGCAAGGCUGAAACUCAAAGGAAUUGACG